GCUGUUUAGAGUGAGGUGUAUGGAGUGAGGUGUGUGAUGUUUAGAGUGAGAUGUUUAGAGUGAGGUGUGAUGUUUAUAGUGAGGAGUGAGAUGUUUAGAGUGAGAUGUUUAGAGUGAGGUGUAUGGAGUGAGGUGUGAGAUGUUUAGAGUGAGAUGUUUAGAGUGAGAUGUGAUGUUUAGAGUGAGAUGUUUAGAGUGAGGUGUGAUGUUUGGAGUGAGAUGUUUGGAGUGAGAUGUUUAGAGUGAGGUGUUUAGAGUGAGGUGUUUAGAGUGAGGUGUGAUGUUUAGAGUGAGAUGUUUAGAGUGAGGUGUAUGGAGUGAGGUGUGAGAUGUUUAGAGUGAGAUGUUUAGAGUGAGGUGUGAUGUUUAGAGUGAGAUGUUUAGAGUGAGGUGUGAUGUUUGGAGUGAGAUGUUUAGAGUGAGGUGUAGAGUGAG
ensembl:lncRNA